UUCAUGUCUCCAGCAAUAUUGACCAGUAUGUAUAGAGAUCUGAGUUAUGUCAUGUUGGCGACUGCGUUACUCUCUUCCCUGUGUGGAUCAUAGUCAAGAGUGAUGUAAAGUUUCUCAGAGGUGGACCACACGCGGAUUGCAGACAUGACUGGAGAAAGUCAUUUUGAUUACAGGAGAGAAGUAUUUCAUUAAAGAGAUGAUUGAACCCAAGAUGGCUUAAUGUUGGAUCUGUUUACUUUGAAGACUGAUAGAUUUUGAAGAUUAAUGCAAUCAAAGGUGUAAUUAAUACAUAUCGAAGUGGAAAUGUGACCGACGCAGUAGUAAAACAGAAUUUCACCUCGUCCCUUGCAAAAUUGUCACAAUUCUGUCUGUGAAUCCACC
rnacentral:lncRNA from 1 species